rnacentral:misc_RNA from 1 species
UUUCCGUAGGUGAACCUGCGGAAGGAUCAUUAAUGAAAUGCAAGGACGCUCUUUUUAGAGGUCCGACCUAUUCAUCCUUUCACCCUGUGCACAAAUUAUUUUUACAUCCAUUUUAAACACAUAAACACAUAAAGUUAUUGAAUGUCUAUAGUCUCUUGAUUGAGCAUAAACAAAAUAAAACUUUCGGCAACGGAUCUCUUGGCUCCCGCAUCGAUGAAGAACGCAGC